UACGAAGGGGGCUAGCGUUGUUCGGAAUUACUGGGCGUAAAGGGCGCGUAGGCGGUGUGUCAAGUCAGGCGUGAAAGCCCCGGGCUCAACCUGGGAACCGCGCUUGAGACUGGCACGCCCGAGUUCGGGAGAGGAUGGUGGAAUUCCCAGUGUAGAGGUGAAAUUCGUAGAUAUUGGGAAGAACACCGAUGGCGAAGGCAGCCAUCUGGACCGACACUGACGCUGAGGCGCGAAAGCGUGGGGAGCAAACAGG
rnacentral:rRNA from 1 species